rnacentral:lncRNA from 1 species
CAAGUGUAGGCUUUUCCUUGCCAGAGAUAGCCUAGAUACUUUUGAAUAAGACUCUCAGUCUAAGAAGUUUCUGGCGGGGCUGUCAGCCAUCUUGGGCCCCCAGUGGCUGGGGCGGCAGGGGCUGACUCUUGGUCAAGGGAUGUUCUAGCCCAGAGCAAGGGAAGCCAGAGCCCCUAUCCCAUUCCUGGGCCUCAGAGAGAU